UAACACGAACCGUGCGAACGUUAUUCGGAAUCACUGGGCUUAAAGGGUACGUAGGCGGUCUUGCAAGUGGGGUGUGAAAUCCCUCGGCUCAACCGGGGAACUGCGCUCCAAACUGCAAGACUUGAGGGAGAUAGAGGUGAGCGGAACUGAUGGUGGAGCGGUGAAAUGCGUUGAGAUCAUCAGGAACACCAGAGGCGAAGGCGGCUCACUGGGUCUCUUCUGACGCUGAGGUACGAAAGCUAGGGUAGCGAACGGGAUUAGAUACCCCGGUAGUCCUAGCUGUAAACGAUGAGCACUGGGUCGAGGAGCCUUCCACAGUUUCUCGGCCGUAGCGAAAGUGUUAAGUGCUCCGCCUGGGGAGUAUGGUCGCAAGGCUG
rnacentral:rRNA from 1 species